GUCAGUGAGGAUGAGGAGGGGUGAAGCAGCCCCAGGUGGGGUCAGUGAGGAUGAGGAGGGGUGAAGCAGCCCUAGGUGUGGUCAGUGAGGAUGAGGAGGUGCAAGCCCUGCUAAGGGCUGCUUUCAGGGGUGUUUGUACCUGCUGGAGUGGGCAGUCUCCAGGAAUCUGUCAAAGGACAAUAUUUGCAGAAGGAACCCCUGGAUGCUCCAUGAGCAUUGCUCCAGGAUGGGCAGAGGGACAAGUCCUGUGCCACUGGGCAGCACAGGAGAGGGAGCAGCACACCUGAGCAGCCUGUAACAGCACUGCUGGCCAGUUCUGGGGAGUGUGAGAAGGAAGCUGUGCGUGCAUCUUGUCUCUUAGUAAGACAACACCACUGUGGAGACAUACAAUCAUUCAAAUCCUGUAUUUGUAAUUUUACAAAGACUAUAGGCUGAGAGUUCAAUUACUGCUUAUGUCACAACCCAUAAUUUGUUAGGCAUUCUGUCAAGAUUCACUGCCUACUCCCAUUGGAAUGAGUCUUACCUUGCUGAGAGAAUUGUUGCAGCCUGGUGACCUGAGCCAGCUGCUGCAAUGAGUCUGGACAAGAGGACAAAACCCUCCUCUGAUUACCAGCCACUAUGAUGUGAAGGUUGAGGAAUCUGCUGCAGGUAGCUUGGCUUGUGAACUGCAGAUUGAGCCAGAGACAAGAGGCUGUGAGCUACCAACAUUUUGUUCAACAAAGGACAAGAAAAUGUGUGGUGCCAGCCACGUGGAUGGAUGCUGGGAGACAGACACAGAGGAGUCAAGAGGAAGACUUGCAUGUUGAUUGGGCUGUGAGAGGAUAAAAGCCCAGGAGACCUUUGGGGUCUCUCCUCAGAGGCACCAGCUUGAGCUGUUUCUGCAAUAUUGUGUUGUGAAGAAAUGGCUUUAUGGAACCAAAGACAACUGAGACUCUGCUAAGGGAAAUCUCAGCUUGAAUUGUCACCAAAUCCACUGAAAACUAGUUGAAUAAGACUCCUUAACAUCAAUUUAGUGUUAAGAAGGACAAUUUAUUCAGGCACUUGAUUACACUGGUGAUAACUGGUAACUGUGUAUGGCACAUGAUUUUACAAGUCUGUUAUACAGCCACUACAUGCAUGUUACAAUUUGGCCAUUAUCAUAAAACCCUCCCCAGGUUCCCAAACUCA